GACGAACGCUGGCGGCGUGCUUAACACAUGCAAGUCGAACGGAAAGGCCCUGCUUUUGUGGGGUGCUCGAGUGGCGAACGGGUGAGUAACACGUGAGUAACCUGCCCUUGACUUUGGGAUAACUUCAGGAAACUGGGGCUAAUACCGGAUAGGAGCUCCUGCUGCAUGGUGGGGGUUGGAAAGUUUCGGCGGUUGGGGAUGGACUCGCGGCUUAUCUGCUUGUUGGUGGGGUAGUGGCUUACCAAGGCUUUGACGGGUAGCCGGCCUGAGAGGGUGACCGGCCACAUUGGGACUGAGAUACGGCCCAGACUCCUACGGGAGGCAGCAGUGGGGAAUAUUGCACAAUGGGCGGAAGCCUGAUGCAGCAACGCCGCGUGCGGGAUGACGGCCUUCGGGUUAUAAACCGCUUUCGCCUGUGACGAAGCGUGAGUGACGGUAAUGGGUAGAGAAGCACCGGCUAACUACGUG
rnacentral:rRNA from 1 species